GGUAGAAUGGCUGAUAUAAGCAUUAGACUGUAAAUCUAAGUAUAGAGGUUUAAGUCCUCUUUUUGCCA
rnacentral:tRNA from 1 species